GUGUUUUCAUUGAGGAGAACGUGUGUUUUAAGUGUAGGGGAGGGAACUAUUUCUUUAUUUUGUUUUCUUUCCGUUUUCUUCAUUUUUUUGUGUUUUCUUAAAUAAAUAAAUAAAUAAAUAAAAAUUACAUGUUGUUCUUUGGUUUUUGAGUUGCAAUUGUUUGUGAGUAAAUUCUUUGUUCUAUUGAUUAAGAAUUAUGGUGUGAUGUGAUUAUAUUUUUGUGUGUGCAUUCUUGGCAUGUUAAGUAGGAUUAAACUCUAGAUUGUGCAUCAUUUAUGAUAGAUCAUUAACCUUGUGAGAUUUUGAGUCUUUUAAUGGAUAACAUUAAAAAAUCUAUCUUUUUCUUUCUUGUUUGUUUCACUCAUGUCUGUUAGUCUCUAGAACUUGAAUUGACUCUUGUUGAAGCUUUUUGUUUACUUGUGCACACUGAUAUGAUAAAGACAUA
rnacentral:lncRNA from 1 species